UCCUGGUUAACCCAGGCAGUCUCAUUAGAGUUCCCACCCUAAGUGUUGGCAACUAAUGAUAAGGGUUGCGCUCGUUGCGGGACUUAACCCAACACCUCACGGCACGAGCUGACGACAGCCAUGCAGCACCUGUGCAGAAGCCCCGAAGGGAAAUACCAUCUCUGGUAUCGUCCUCUGCAUGUCAAGCCUGGGUAAGGUUCUUCGCGUUGCAUCGAAUUAAACCACAUGCUCCACUGCUUGUGCGGGUCCCCGUCAAUUCUUUUGAGUUUCACCCUUGCGAGUGUACUCCCCAGGCGGUAUACUUAUCGCGUUAGCUUCGGCACAAUCGGGGUUGAGUCCGAUUACACCAAGUAUACAUCGUUUACGGCAAGGACUAC
rnacentral:misc_RNA from 1 species